UGAUCUGCCAGCCUCGGCCUCUCAAAGUGCUGGGAUUACAGGUGUGAGCCACACCACCUGGCCACAAUCGGUUUUUUAAUGAAUUAAGUUGAUUUCUAAUACAAUAAACAUGAGUAGCUAUAAUUUACACAAAUAAAAACUCUCUGGGAUUCUCAGUAGUUAUUGAGAAUAUAAAGGAGUCCUGAGACCAAAAAGGCUCAGAACUUCUGCAUUAACUCAUUUAAUUCUCAGAAUAGCCCUGCAAGGUAUAUAUAAUUAACCCCACUUUAGGAGCAAGAAUGUUGAGGCAGAGAGAAACAGUGCCUAAUCUAAGAUCACACAGCCAACAAGUGUUCAAAACAGGACUUUAGCCAAGGAGUCCAUGUGAUCUCAACCAUGAUGCUACCCCGACUCCAGGACGGGCCGAGGGCCCCACCAGCAGAAGUGAGAGCCUUGCCUCCAUGGGGUUGAGCAAUCUGUGCUCCUCUCCUUUUCUCUCUUCUUUCUUUUCUUUCUGUCUCUUUCUUCUUCUUGUUCUUUUUUUUUUUUUUUUUUUUAAUAGAGACAGGGUCUCUGUCACCAAGGCUGUAGCACAGUGAUAUGAUCAUGGCUCACUACAACCUCAAACUCCUGGGCUCAAGCAAUCCUCCCACCUCAACCUCCCAGGUAGCUGGGACUACAGGCACGUGGCAUUAUGGCCAGCUAAUUAUUUUUAUUUUUGUAGAGACAAGGUCCCACCAUCUUGCCCAGGCUGAUCUAAUUCCUAGGCUCAAGCAAUCUUCCUGCUGCUGCCUCCUAAAGUGCUGGGAUUAACCAGUGAGAGCCACAGUACUCAGCCCAUACUUCUCUUUUUUCCCCAGAUUGUGUCAGCCAAGUCAGGCCAAAAUGUGCCCCCCACAGCAGGGAAUUAGUGACCAUGUGGAGGUGCAGGAUGUCGGUCUUCCUUCUGAUGGUUUGGGACUGCUGGACCCAGGCUGCCAGGCAAGCUGGUUUCUCCUGCACACCAGUGUGCAGUCUGGUGGAUGCUGGUGGGGAGAGGGGGAUUCUCUGAGCAUGACCAUGAGAACACCCAAGAAAGCGGGACUUAGCUCACAAAGCUAUUACUAGUGCUUUCUGUCACCCAGGCUGGAGUGCAGAAGUACAGUUCUAGCUCACUGCAGCCUCCACCUCCUGGGCUCAAGCAAUUCUCCCACCUCAGCCUCCCAAGUAGCUAGGACCAAAGGCACGUGCCACCAUGCCUGGCUAAUUAUUUUACUUUUUUAGUAGAGACCAGGUCUUGCUACAUUGCCCAGGCUGUAAUGCACUCAUUCUUACUGAUAAAAUGAAAAACAAAACAAAACGUAUAGCUCCUGCUCUGCAUUACAUUAAGAAAGCUACACACUUAGAUCUGAUACAAUGCUUAGUCUAAUAAUGACAGGCUGUCUCCGGGCCAAAAAAAUAAGUCGUCCCCAACCACUUCCUCCUGUCAAAAGACACUGGAAAAUUCUGCCCUGCUCUUAGCUCCCCCUUGCAACAUCUCAAAGCGGCUCUGCUUCUUAAAGAGGCAACUUACUUCUGGUCUCCUGAGGUUUGUUUUGUUCUUUUUUUCUUUUUUUGAUAAAGACAUUAAUUUUCCUCAUUAGCAUUUUGAAUUCACUCAGGGAUGUUUUAACUACUUAGUUAUGAUCCAAAUAAAGAGUGGCUUGCAGCCCCUCUCAGAGGCUGUUUUAAGCUAACCAGUCUCAAACUUCAGCAUACAUCACAAAAACCUGGUGGGCUUGUUAGAACACAAACUGCUGGGUCCCGUGUGGGGCAGGGCGGGGUGUGGGGAGCUUCCUUUUUGUAGAAUCGGCACUUCUAGUAGGUUCCCAGGUGAUUUUGAUGCAGCUGGUUCAGGGCCAUAUUCUGAGAACCACUGCUUUAAGCUACCUUUCCUUAAAUGGAAAAGAAAAACAAUUAAGUGAAGGAAAUAUUGAGUUCCGUGAUUUCCCCAGGGCCAGGUGAAAGACUUCCACUUAUGAAAAGGCCUUGGUUAGGAAUCAUGCUGAACUCACUAGUGUAAUUCCAUCUCCCUCAUCUAUUUUUGGAAUUUGAAAACACAUAUGUUAAUUUAUAUUGAAUUCAUAAUAUUACUUUAUUAAUCCAUCUCUCAAAUGGAUUACUUUUUAAGGGAGAUUUGUGCCUUCUUCUCUCCUGAAAACUUAAAUAUUCAUUUUAAUGAGACAAAAAUAACCAGAAUUUGAUCAGAAAUAUUCGGUAACUUUAAGGAGCUGAUGCUCACAUAUCUACAAUAAUAAGAUAGAAAAUAUUCAGGCGUCUUAAAAUACGAGUUAUCUGAAAUCGAGAGGGAAGAGAUUAAAGUGAUGAUGAAAGGGACAGUCUGGAAGGGCAGCAUUGAUACAGCAGAAGGGGCCCUGGAUUAAAUCUGGUUGGGAAACCCAGUCCCAGUUACCCCACUGAGGAGCCUUAUGGGCUCGGAAAAUUGGUUUUUAUGGACCUCAGGUUCUACAUAUGCAAGAUGAAGAUAACACCGUCCUCCAAAGACGAUGAUAUAAUUAAAUUUAGUUGUUUUAUCCCACAUCAUUUUUUAAGAACUUGAGAUUUUUAAAAUUUCACAUUUAAAAAAAAAACUUGAGGAAAAAAUGAGUUUUCAAAAAUUAAUGAGUAAAAUACAUAUUUUAAAACAAUAUAUACCAACCAAAAACACACAGUAAAAUUAUUCUGACUAAUCACAAAUGCUGGCCUAAGUUUCCUGGCAGUUAAACUGAAGAAGGGAAUUAUUACAUAACUCUCAUUAUCUCAUAAAUUGAGAGGCGGAAACAAGCGAAUUCCUCAAAGCAAUGAAUGAGAUCAUGUGUGUGAAAGCUUCUGGCAAAUAACCAGAAAUAAGAUGUCAUUAUUAAGGUUUCAGGAAGAGGUGGGAUAUGAGCUUUACUAUGGUGGGACAGGGCAGACCCCAAACACAGCAGGUGAUGAGAUGUAGUACAAAGAAACUCUGCCUCCCUCUUCUCUUUCCUUUGGCUUGGUUCUCAAACCUCUGCCUACUGCAGAGUGGGAGUGCACGUGCUGAAGGCAGAUUGAGGGUGCUCUUCAAUCAAGUUGAGAGUGUAGCAUUCACUUGUAUGAAAAUGCCGCUUCUGUAGGUCAAAAAAUAUCAGUGAUUUCCUAAGGUUAAACCUAACAGUAAGACCAAGUGAAGUGGAGGCAACAGGUAUAAAGAAUAUACCAUUUCAAGGCUGUCUUUGCAGUUCUAACAGUUAGAAAAGAACAUUCUGAAGACUAGAGAGUUAAACCUUAGUUUGGAACCUCACUGCUUGAGAACCUGGGAGAAUCUGGAGGAGAAGAGAUCAAUGAAAAUGCUUAAAGACUUGGAGAGGAAGGGAACACGCUAGAGCGGGGGUCCCCAGCCCCCAGGUACCGGUCCAUGGCCUGUUAGGAACCAGGCUGCACAGCAGGAGAUGAGCGGUGGGCAAGCCAGCAUUACAGCCUGAGCUCCAGCUCCUGUCAGAUCAGCAGCAGCAUUAGAUUCUCAUGGGAGCAAACCCUAUUGUGAACUGUGCAUGCUGGGGAUCUAGGUUGCAUGCUCCUGAUGAGAAUCUAAUGCCUGAUGAUCUGAAGUGGAACAAUUUCAUCCCAAAACCAUCCCCUCUCGGUCCUCCAUGGAAAAAUUGUCUUCCACGAAACUGAUUCCUGGUGCCAAAAAGGUUGGAGACCGCUGUGCUAGAGAAGACUGAACUGUCCCACCACAGCCUGGUCCCGUCCUCCAGGGUACUCAGCUGGACUACAUUUCUCAACCUCCUUUGGAGACAGGUGUGGCCCAUGGCUGACUUCUGGCCAGUGAAAUGUCAGUGAAAGUGAUAGUCACAACUUCCGGGCCUGGACGAUCUUGGCCGCCAUUACAAACAACUGUGUUCAUUCCUCUGUGACUGUCUGAGUGCUGGAUGUUAACACCCAGGGAGGCCUGGAAAGCCACCAACGAAGACAGCAAAGCCCUGGUCCCCUACAAUAUGGAGCAGAGCCACCCCCGUCCUGAUUGGGUUUACAUUCUGUUGUGUUGAGUCACCACGAUUUUUGAGUGCAACUGUAACAUAUCUGGUGUAAUAGAAGAAUGGAUAAAGGAACUGUUGUUCUCAUGCCCCCUCUAAAAAAGAGAUAACUAAUCCAUUUACUAUUUUAAAAGGUAGCAUGCUGGUUUCCAAACCUGGAAACACCCAUCAGAAUCACCUGUGGAGUGUUUUAAUCAAACAGAUUCCUAUACUACACCCUGAAUCUCCUGAAUUUUUCCAGGAUUUUUUUUAAGUUCUUUAGGAGUUUACAACUGAUCAUUAGGCUGGAAUCUGAGGAUGGCUAGAAAGGAUGUGGCUGCAAUGCUGACCUGCCGAUGUCCUCAUUUCUCUACCCCUGGAAACGCGCCAUCUGCUUUACGUCCUGGCUCUUAAUCUUGCACCAUCUUCUCGUCAUCUCUAACUGGUUAACUGGUGUGUUUUAUCAACUCAAGAACCCUGUACGCUCAUCAGGGGCCAGGAUUAUAGCUUUUAUAUUUAUUUUCCAAACAGCAUGAAGCUAGACAGGUAAUGAAAGCUCAAUCAACACAUUAAUUCAUUUGAUUUAAGCAGUUGUUUUCUUCUAUACCAUCAGAAUAAGGGGAAAAAGGGCUUUUCUAGCAACGUAGACACAGGCUAGACUUAGCAAAACAGUUCCAAUUAUGUGUUUAAGUCAUUUUUAAGACACCAAUGUGCCCAAGGUGACUGAUUACCCCAUGCAUUGAUGGAGAAGUAACCAGUUCUCAAAAUUUAAUAUGUGCAAGGCUGAACUAUGAAGCUUGUUAAAAAUGUAGAUUCCUGGGCUUAGCCUCCAGGUAGUCUGAUCUAGUAGCUCCAGUGUAAGGCACAGGAAUUUGCAUUUAUGAUAUUCCUCCUCCUACCCCAUCCCUGAGUUGUGUGCAAGUGGCAAGAAACAGGAGGUGUGAUUGUAAACUAGUAAGGUCAGGAUCGUGUGAUUGUAAAGUAGUCAGGUCAGGAUCGUGUGAUUGUAAACUAGUCAGGUCAGGGUCGUGUGAUUGUAAACUAGUCAGGUCAGGGUCGUGUGAUUGUAAACUAGUCAGGUCAGGGUCGUGUGGUUGUAAACUAGUAAGGUCAGGGUCGUGUGAUUGUAAACUAGUCAGGUCAGGAUCGUGUGAUUGUAAACUAGUAAGGUCAGGGUCAGGUCUAUUUUGUUUAAUGUGAUAUCCGUAGGGCCAAGCAUAUUGCUUAACUCACAAUAAAGCUUAUUAUCUGUCCAAUGAGGAGGAAUCUCAUCUGACUUAUCCUAAACACUGCCCUUCCUUCCAGAAAGGAAAUGAACCAGGUGACCCUCCUGGUCUUCUGAAGGCCACCAGCUUACUGUCACACACUUAGUAAACUGGGAAGUGCCCCUUCUGGCUGCCUCAGCCCCAUCUGCUCAGAGUUCUAAUUGAAGAGGCCGACCUCCUUUGAUUGGCACUGCCUUCUUGCUGUGCCAGGGACCAUCUGUAGCCACCACCUCCUGGCAGUUCAGACAUCUCUUCCUUCUUGCAGGCAUGGAUGGGCAAGGACAUUAGUAAAUGGACCUGGAUCUAGGAGAGAGGGCCUGCCUGUCACACCCCGAAUGACCCCAGGUCUGUUAGCAAACUCCACACAGGUACUGAGAACUCCCACACCUGGGGAAUGGUGCUUUCCUAGUAACUAGGUUUUUUUUUUUUUUUUUUCUGCAGCAGAAUGCUGAGCAUCCCAUAACCGUGAUUUCACUGGCUCUCACAGUACCUCAGUAAAACCAGGAGGGAGCACGGGUCUGUAUCCAUAUUUUGCAGAUGGCAAACAGAGAGGAAAUCUGACUUGCCCAAGGUCACACAGCAGGUCAGCCAUGAAGCCAGGGAGGGUACCCAAGCUCUACGCAUCCACAGCCGUGGCAUCUGCAGGGCCACAGCCCCUUCACAGGGGCGGGGAAUCACAGCUGCUUCCAUUUAAGGCUGUUGCUCCUCAAUUUUACACAGGGGUAUGUGCUCUUCAGAAAGGAAAUACUAAGCUAAGCUUUGCCUCUCUUCACUUAAAAGACCUUCGGGAUGAAUCUCUUUCAGAGACUCAACUGCCAUCCAAGUGAAGAGAGGACGGGGGGAUAUGAAAAGAUCUUUUUCUUGGCAGUGGUAAUGAACCUGUAGUUCUCAAAGUGUAGAUGGGACGUAUCAGAAUCACCCAGGCACUUUCUCAACAUAUAUCGUCCCCCAUUCACAGAUUCUGCAAGUCAACCAACCCCACUUCAGCCCUGACUCCAUAGCAAAUCUCACAAUGGAGUAGUUUGAGUGGCUUUUUUCUUUUCCCUUAUCCCACGGGCAGGUGUUAACAGCAAAGGGGACAGGGGUGAGCAGUAGGAAGGGGAAGCCUGGACCCUGGACAAUCCACAGCAGAGGGUGCGGAGCUGACAUCCCCUGUGCCAGUUUGCCGCAGCACGAUACAAAAGGUGCACAGGACACAAGAGUAAUGGGGCAAUCCGGGCCCACACCUUCGUUCUCAUACUAAGAGGAAAACAGAAAAUACAGGGUUACAGAGUUCACAGCCAACACUCAAAACAACAGACUGGAGUAUGUGUCUAAGGAAGACAUGAAAUGGAAGGGCCACUACAGACAACUGGCGGUUGAGAAGAUAAGACUCAGCCUACAUCCUCCAGAAGCAUACUGACAGACAGAGUCUGGGGUCGUUUGAGGCUCUCCUCUGUACUGAUACUCUCCACCCCACUCCCUGAGAACAACUGGAGGGAGGGUGCCUGCCUAGGGGCUCUCGAGUGGUGAGCACAGUGCUGGGCACACACAGUAAAGCUCCAGAAAAGUGAGUUGUUUUUGCAUUGCGAGUUUUUCUGGACUGUGUCAAGUUUUACUUUAAAUAAGGCACAUCCAAACUAAGAAGUGCCCAGGUGAGGUUGGUCACCCAGUGAUGGCUUCCAGGCUCACCAGCACACCCUCAGUCCUAUCCAUGACUGAGCCCUUCCCAUCCAGCCCUCCCCUGGAUCCCAGUACUGUUGCUUCUCCCACUCAGUACGCAUCCCUUACUUCCCUGUUGGUUUCAAAGUUUUCUCUCUCCAGUGAUCCCAUAAAUCAGGCAUGUGAGACAGAAGGUUUUCACAUCAUGUAUUAAAGGUUAUUAAGUGCUCCCAAUGAGAUAGAAGAAAUCUUCCAUUGCAACAUGAGAGGCAUACUUUGGACAUCAGAAUGAAUAGUGGUAAGCGCUACUUAAACAAUGUAGGUUACCAGUGGAUGGACGGAGAGGCAGAAACUGACAUUUACUGACUACCUACGUGUGUGAAUGUGCUUGAUUUUAUUUAAUCCUCAACACCCUCCUGCGAGGAAGGUAUCAUUAUUUCAGGGAUGAAGAAAGAGGAAAAGAAUAGCAUUUCCACAGCAGAUGUUCUUAGAAAACAGAAGCCACGGACUUAGGUUCCAAUGACUUGCAAAUAGUACCCUGGUGGGGAAAAGUAUGCACAUAUGUUUGGCCUCCACUGUACCCAGAGCUGCUUGGAGAGCCUUCCACAUGGAUCAGUCAAUGACCAAGGAGGAGUUCUAAGCCUUUGGGUGGCAGCCAAUAAAUAAUCAUCCUUUCUGCCCCUUAUAAACUCAGAACCAAUUAAGAAGUAAGAUAUAGGACACACAGAUUAAAUCAAACCAAAAGCUUGAUUAGAAACAAAUUAUAAAAUGGAGGAAGUGGCUUAGACGGGCUUCGAAGGACUUCCUAAUAUUUCAACCACUAUUAAAUGUACUUACCCUGCCAGAAGGUGAGACCAUCACAGGUUUUCCCCACAGGGCCAGAUCAGUCCCAAUAACUUGGUGAACCCUUCUUUGGGGAUAAGUGGAUUCAAAAGAGAGUCCCAGAAGGGGCUACACCAAACUCACCAGUCAGAUAGGUCACUUCUCCCCUGGGGACAAGGGCAUAAAGAGACAGGGAAAAGUGGGAUGUGUUCCUGCCAUACCUUCCCUUCCGGGAACAUGAGCUAGAAACUCCCUCCUUCCCCUGCCCAUGUAACACAAGGGGUAGGGAGUAAAUGAUAUUCCUUUUGCGGGAGAGGGCCAUCAACACUUUCAAGCUAACUCGAAUGUAUGGGAAAGACUGAAAAAAAAAAAAAAAGUUAAACCCAUGGACCCAGCAAAGUGCCAUCCUCUAAGGAGGACUUGGAAGGACCCAAGAAAGUCUUGGGAAGUAAAAACUGGGGAAGAGUAAGAGCUUAGAAAAAAGAAAGAAGGGGUUUGACCUAACAGGUCUGUAACAGAAAACAUACAGCUGUCCCCGCACAAACACCUUCAUCUGAUCUGGAAUUUGCUCUACAUAGAACCUGAAUAAUCUCCUGGAACCCACCAGGCCUCUACCACCUACAAAGGCAACCUUGACAUUUAAAGUGCAUAACUCUUGUCCCUGCUUCUUGAUAGACAGUGGAGGACAAAUGAUGACUCACACAAGAAGCCCCCAAGCCUGCUCCGGGGCUUCUUAGCCUCAGCUGCACGGUUGCUGCUUUCCAUGUCCUUCCACCUUCCACUCAGCACGUUGGCCUCCCAGAGGGUCCUCUUUCUACACUGUCCUACAACCCAAACGUUUGUGUAUCGUAUCAGAGCUGCUGAUGUGAAGAAGCCUUUGACUGUGGCCAGAUUGCAGAGGCCACUCUGUCUAAACCAGCCCUUUUUUGGACUUUCUUUUUCAGGCGGACUAUUUACACACUUCAAGCAAGCCCCACAAGAGCCCCCAGCAAAUAAUACAUUCAUCCAAGCAGCCAUCUCUGGUGGAAAAAAAUCGUUAUUAAUUGGGGUUACAGCACUCAUUUUAACCGCAGCAGGAGCUGAGCCAACUUGAUUUAGUGGUGUGCAGUCUUUUUCUGAACUCCAGUGGAUACUUCACAAAUAACAAUAAAAAUUUUAAUGGUAGGACAGACAUGGAGUGGGCUACACAGCUUCACUCAUUAAACAAACUCCAUCCACCAUGCUCAAGGAUUCAAGCUGUUUUAUGUGGCCAGCCACUUUGCCUAAGCCUGCUGCAGAUGAGAGACUAAAUUUUCAUGGUGUCAAGUUGCAGUAAGAAACAGGUUUCAUUAGCCCUCUUAACAGAUGCAGAAACCGAAGGCCAGAGUGAGAAAGUGAUUUAGGAUCAAUCAGAGGAGGUGCCAGGAGUCCAUCCUCAGCCCCACCUCUCGCCCCAGCCUCAUUCAGUUCUGAUUUCCGAAACAUUUUCGCUUCAUGGAAACUAGGAAGACUCCAUUCUCUGGAGAACUGCAGGGCAGCUGUUUCUGAUUAUUUUUCCAAGAGAGACACAUAACCAAAAGGGUAUUUUGGUUAUAAAGCAAUUUAUUUCUCUAACCAUUAGAAGAUAUGUAUGUUCAUUCCCAUGGGCCCGGGGCUGGGUUUGGUUGCCCUGCAAUGACAACGUCUAGCAGGACUCCACUGAAUCCAGGAGGCCAGUAAUGGAAACUCAAAGACUGUGGCAGUGCCACUUAGAUAAGCACCUGCGGCCUCCCUGACCUACCUCAACCUCCCUGGCUUGGAAACCUCUGCUGGAAAUUUCAUAGAAGCUACUUCUCCCCUUGCAGGGGAGAAUUUUCAUUACAAAGGAGGAUUUCAACACGCUUCAGCCAUGUCCUUUAGGAUCACUGUACUAGAAAGCUGGGUAUAGCUCUGACCAGCCAUUGACCGCCUGCCCUCAUGAUGGUCACGAUCCCAGGAGACAUGUCAGUAGACCACACUGUCCAGCAGCAACUCAGCUUCCCUUUGCCCUUCACCCCCAUGACCUUAUGCUGACUGUCAACGUGAUCUAUUUUCUCCCCUGCUCUUCAGAAGCCCUCAGCAACGAUUCUCCACUCCCCAGAUACUGAUGACAGAAACUAAAUGAUCAAGAAGUAUUCAUAUGAGCAGACACACAUCCCUCUCAAACUCAGGCUCUUCCAAAGUGACAUGACUGUUCUGCAGACGGGCUGAGCCAACGCAGAACACACUGUCCCUCCUUCUGCGUCAUGCUGGAAGUUGCUCUAAGUGCAGGAUGUGGUAGAAGUCACCAGGGUGGAUGGGAUGGUCUGUGUUCCAGCAAACCCACAAGGACAGAAGAGCCAGCCUGGGCUGGUUAGGGAGAGGACAGCUUCAAGGCUGAAGACUAAAAAGUAGAGCUAUUAUUCUGGGUGGCUUGUCGUCAUCUCCACUGAGAGCAGAACAAACCCCUAAAGCAUGUGGAAUUUCCAUUACAGACAAAAAAGAAUUAUUGGACAGUGAGGGUCAUUAGACAAUGGAAUGAGUGCCCAAGGCUACAGCACUGGCAUCACCACAAUGAUCAAGUCAGGAGGGCCGGCUGGGGUUGGGAGGUCACUGGAUUAGAGAUGGAUGACCAGGGCUCCAUUGGCUCAGUGGGUAUUUAACGCAUGGCCUUGGAGGAGGUGCCAGUCUCUCUCCACUUCAGCUACAGCGUAGGCCAUCACCCAGUUUGUCCCCCUGAGUAGUUGCUAUGAAGAUCAAAUGAGAUCAUGGAUGUAAAAGUGUUCAGUGAACCAUAAAUUGCUACCCAGAUAUCAGCUGUCAUCAACCACACCCACAAUCCUGACUAAAGGUCUCGGGAUGGAGAGAGGGUCUUGGCCUGUGCCCUUCAGGAUUCGGUGCUGUGCGUGCAACCUGGGAGUUUCUGCCCUGUUAAUAAGCUGAGUGCUCCCAACUCCAGGUGCUGGGAGGUGAACGGCCCAGGGUUGGAAAUGUCUCUUCCUGGAGUGCUCAGUGCUGAUGCUGGCCAGGUGGAGCACAGAAGACAAAUGAACUCCGCAGAUACUGACUGGGUGGGCUCUGUGAGGCACUGUCCAUGCCUCAGGGAGAUGGACUGAUGCAUCCUUGUCCUUGAGGAAUCUAAAGAGAAGGCAAGGCAGGCCGGGUGCAGUGGCU
rnacentral:lncRNA from 10 species